CCGAGUGACUUCUAUUUUGGGUAUGUGUUCAAUCUGCUUUGAAGUCAAAGGAGCUCUCCAAGGUGCUGACCCUAUUUAGAGAUGAGAUUUCGGACUAUAUAUGGUAAUACUUCAUCUUCACCGGUGUUCAGCCCAGACCUGAAAGGAGUUUUCCGAUGUGUCUCUAAAUCUGUAGGUCGUGAUGCCGAGUGACUUCUAUUUUGGGUACGUGUUCAAUCUGCUUUGAAGUCAAAGGAGCUCUCCAAGGUGCUGACCCUAUUUAGAGACGAGAUUUCAGCACGCUGGAGAGCUCCUUUCAGGUCUGGAGUGAAAGCUGGUGCAGAUGCUCCAGUAUGAGCUUCCUGUGUGGCCCAGCAUUUUCUUCAUUUUCUUCAUGGGUAUGGCAUGCGAUCAAGGCUCACACUCAUUCACCCUCCUCUGGCACAAGAGAUGAGAACCGCCAGGAUGCUGCCUUGAUCGGAAUGUGUGAUGGCUGCACAUCUGGCGAGCUUGUCAUAUCUGUAAUGGGCCAGAUGACACCAAACAGUCAAAUGCAGAAUAUCCUUAACAAGGUCGGAGAGAGCUGGCAGGAAGGGCUCCGGGCUAAUUCAGUGAUGACACUGAUGUGACAGAGCCUCGGAGACAGAAGAAGCCCACCAGGCAUUGGUCGGGGAGGAAAGAGAGGACGACAUACGGAGAUAUACGUUUUGUUCCUGGAAAAGGCUGUAUUUUGCCAGCUUUGUUCUGGUGCAGAGCUUGAGGGGCAAUGGAGAUGGAAAAGGAGAGCGAUGGAGGGGAUCAAGGUUGCCUUACCAACUCCAUGGCACGUCAGUAAUCGGAUACAUUUCUGCCAAUGAUGAACAAGUUUUCUGAAGCUGUCAUGGAAGAAGUCGACACUCUGUUUCCGCAACCGACGUCUCACAGGACCCAUCGUGCACAGAUCUUCCGAUAGCCAAGCAAAACAAUAAUGUGACCCACAUGUUCUUGUAAAAUGCCGAUUAUGCUUGAAAUUUCUCUCUGAGUGAUACGACGAUCAUCCUGAAUCAAUCUGUCAACCUUUUGCUUGUGAAACUCGGUGGUUGCUGUCACAGGACGUCCAACUUUUUGUUUGUCACACAAGUCAGAUGUUCCCACCUCAACAUCUUUAAACUUACUUGCCCAAUGAUGCACAGGACUCACAUCAACACAAUCCCCAUAAACAGCUUGCAUUCUCUGAUGAAUCUCCUUUGGGGUCAAGAAUUCAAUGACUGCAUGUUGCUUCAGUCACAUUGACCGACCGUCUGCACAGGGUUCCAUACUUCGCACUUUAACAACACAAAUGUUCAGUGCUAAGGCUUCCUGCCAAAUGGAACUAACUGCAGAGGAGAGUCUACUGAACAAGCCAGGACCUGUUGCAGACCAGGACUGUAAUCUAUUGAGGACUUACGAAGGUGGAGGCAUUACUUUUCAUUCAACCCUCGUACUGUGUUUUAAUCUGAUUUAUUUUAUUUGAUCUGUUUGGUAGAUAGUGUUUAUUUACGUUUUAACUCUGUUCAUAUUUUGUUUUUUGGCUUUCCCCCAUGUUAGCUGCUCUGAGUCCCUUCGGGGAGAUGGAGGCGGGAUAGAAAAAUAAAGUUAUAAUAUUAUUAUUAUUCCUCCAUUCACCACUGAAAAUGUUGCUUAGGAGUUGGAAGCAGGUCUUUGAGGAGCGGGAGGCAGAUCUUUCAAUGCCUUCCUGGGGAUGAGCAAAGUCAGAAUAAAUUAUGCAAAAAAAAAGUCCAAACAAGGCCCCGCUGUUUGUAUUCUCGUGAUGUCAAAGCCCAGGUUUUUUCUUCCAGAACUGCCCAGGAACGAGGUGUGUUCCCGAGGCACUGGGGUGGAAUAACAAAUCUUGUCUCACCAGGGAGAGGAAAAAAAAUGAGAGCAUCGACCGACGAUCCUGCCUUCGUUAAUUAACAAAGGGAACGUGAGGAAGAAAGGUGAGGAGACACGGGUAAUUUUAUGCACUGCCAGUCAGGCCCAUCUCUCCACCCAAAGGAAGCUCCAACUUCUUUUUGUGCUGUUUUCUCUGUUUUUCCAAGACAGAGUGUUGAAAGCAAAAGAGGGAGGUGAAAAGGGAAUCUGUUGCAAGAUUAGAAACCAAACUGAUUGGGGAAAAAGGAGAACAGGUAGCAGUCAUUUUUAAUAUUCCGAGGAUACAUUUUCUCCUUCUUAAUAAAUAAAACCCAAAGGUGCUUCUGGUUUAUUAGCUUCUAUUUUGGGAAGUGUUUCUGGAGAUGACCAGCUGAGUCAAACAUGGAUGCCAGUGCCUCAGUUUCCCUUUUCACUGGCUUACUUGAGAACUCACACUGAUAAAAGUCAAUUGUGGCUGUUUGGAGAGUUAGCACAUACUGUGUUUCCCCGAAAAUAAGACAGUGUCCUAUAUUAAUUUUUGCUCCCAAAGAUGCGCUAGGUCUUAUUUUCAGGGGAUGUCUUAGUUUUCCAUGAAGAAAAAUUCACAUUUAUUGUUGAACAAAAAAAUGAACAUUUAUUAUAUACUGUACAGUAGUUGUCAUCACAAACCAGCAUAACCAGACAAACUGUGAAUCCUAUCAAGAAUUUCUUGUUACUACCAUUAUUUCCAUGUACAACGUUUACCAAUCCUGCAUGCUCUUGUGUUUUGUUCGGUGGGCAUGCUUAUCAGCAAAAACUUUGCUAGGUCUUACUUUCGGGGGAGGCCUUAUAUUUAGCAAUUCAGCAAAACUUCUACUAGGUCUUAUUUUUGGGGGAUGUCUUAUUUUAGGGGAAACAGGGUACUUACAAACAUACAUAGUUUCAUACUACUUUAACCUUUGGAGCUACAGCAGUGCUUCUUUGGCUAUUGAUGUGAAGGAUCAUAUACAUAAUAAUGUUAACAAUAAUAUAAACAAUAAUACAACUGAUGACCAAAUUCAGUCAGCUGUAGUGGCACGCAGUCGUAACUUACAGAAUAGUAACUUACAGAGUAUAAAGAUUUAUAGACAGCAAUCAUCCCAGAUUUAAAUGUUACACAGAGCAGUUUUCAGUAUAGAACAUAUAUCAGACAUAUAUCAACAAGACUCCAACUAAAAUUUGUUAGCAACACAGUAUGUGUACAUUCGGUCUCUCCAAAAUGGUAUGUAAUAUGCUGUGAAACUAAAUAUAUCAGUAUACAAAUCAAUUGGCUCAAACCUGGCUUGAAGUCAAAACAAAUCAAAGUCUCUGUAGUCUUGAAGCAGUUCUAUAGGAUUCCUCAGGUUGUAAAUGCAGUCAAUUAGCCGUAGCUUCAGUUUGUUGACAAUAAAUUCAGUUUUUCAGAGAUAAGCUUCCAAAUAGGGGAACAAAUGUUGCAGUCGUUUACAGUUCCCAGCCAGGAAGCCCAGUCAAAUAGAUGUUAUUUUAGAGUGGCUGGCUGUGAGCCAAAGUAAGCCAUUUACGUAACCCGUUUACUACUGGUUCCCAGGUUUACUCCAGUUUCAGUUAACCUUUCAUCUGGUAAGUGGCAAUGUUUUGAAUAUCUGUAUUGUUGGCUCAGCAUUAAGUUUUAUGUUCGCAGUGUCUACGUGCUGAUUGUGGAUUCUAUAGUGCGAGUCUGGAGAGACUGUGGAUGAGCUCCCUCUGUCAACUCUAGCUCCCCAUGCGGGGACAUGAGAAAAGACUCCCACAGGAUGGUAAAACAUCAAACAUCCGGGCACUGUCCCCUGGGCAACGUCCUUGCAGACGGCAAAUUCUCCCACACCAGAAGCAACUUGCAGCUUCUCAAGUGGCUCCUGACCUGAAAAAAACAAACAAAAAAAGUCCAGAGACAACUUUUUUGACUAGCCCUAUCUUAAUAAAUCUCGGCUUCUGUAGUUUGGUGAAGGACUCAGCAUUUUCUUCUCAAGAACUUCAGCACUUGCCUACAGAGAACCCCUUAUAAACCAGAGGAUCAGAACCUUGGAUAGGUCCAUGGACGCUCAGCUCAAAAUGAAUUGACUAUGCCACUUACGAGGUGUCUUUGUUGUUGGUUACAUUGUUUCUGACCUAUGGCAGCCUUAAGGCAACUCUACCACAGGGGUUUCUUGGCAAAAUGAGGGCUGACAUAUAAAGAUGUGACAAUGGGGCAAAGGAAGAUGAACGGAAGUCUUUUCUUUCUUUUUUAUAUUUCUUUUUAUAGGGUAGGUGGGUUGGAGGGGGAGACCUUUUACUUUAUUCUUUCAUUUCUUCACUUUCUUUAAGAAACUUGUUCUCACUCUUUUGCUGCAUACCUUUGGAAAAACUUAAUAAAAAUCAUUAAAAAAAUUAUAUAUUGCAACUAUAGAAUGGGUGGACAACUUCUGGUCCCUCUGACAGUUUGGACUAGAACUCCCGCUUCUACUUUCUGCUCUCCAUAUUGUCUGGAGCUUCAGGGGAUUUGUAGACCAACUUCUUUGAAAGCUAAAACCUUCUCCAGACUUGGAUACUUCUGUCACACCUCAGGUUAGCUUCACCUUGCUGUAUACACCAAACUGCACAUAGGUUGAAGUCUUUUCAGUUUAUUAGAAAAUAGAAGAUAAAAAGUUCUUAAAAAGCAAAAGUAAAGUUCCAAAAGUUCAUUACAAAAUAAAGCCUUGGAGCACAAUUCAGAAAAUCACAAGGAAUGAACAAAGUCCCAUUAAAGCAUGACAAAGUCCCAGGAACAUGAACACAUACUAUCCAGGAAAAUGAGAGCUUGCUUCUUGGUUGAAUGAAAGUUGCUUUGACAAAGGUUUGUCUCCAAACAUACUGCUUUAAUACCCUUUGCAAAACAUGAAAGCAUUUCUCUGGCCUCUAACCUCCCUCUUGUUUGCGAUUCUCACAUUCCUCCGAACCCUGAAUUCUAAACGGUCAGCCCGAUCUAGGGGGCCCGUUUCAUCAAGGUCAGCCUACUCGUUAGUUUGCUGAGCCUCGUUAUCAGAGUGAGAACUGUCCUCCUUUUCUAAGUCAAUUUGCACCUGGCUAGUUUCAGUAUCAUCAACACCAUUCCUUGCUGUGGGAAAAUGAACUUGCACUCUCUGUUCCUCAUCUUCUACAACAGGGACAUUUUGAACCUGAUUUUGAACCUGAAUCCCAUCAUCCUCAUCAAAGUCAAUCUGAGGUUCCAGCUGAGUCACAACAGCUUCUGCUUAGACCUCCCUGUUGGUAAAACGCUUCCCAUCCGACCAGGUUAAAGACUGUACAACAUCCUUUUGGCCGGCCGGCCGGGAUUGUGAAAACACGAUUUGUGUGCUGAGUUUGCCAAGUUUGGUGAGGGAUAUGGAGAUCAAAGCGCUCAAAGCACUCGCCUCCAGCAUUUUAAUUGGUUUUGCAAAGAAAGGGAAAGUACCCUGGCCCUUUGCCCCGUCUUUAACCCUGUCUCUCUAUCCCUAUGUAAAACGUCAGCUCAUCUGCCUGUCACCGGUUUCAAACCCUCCUGUUAUUUAGAACAAUGCUCCGCUCUGUCUGUCACCAGUCAUGUUAUCCAUCUCUCGCCCUCCCCCAGCUCAACCUUGUAUUUUUUGAGGUGAUUACACAAUACAGCUCAGGAGCUUUGCCAUGAAAGCAGAUGUUCUAUUUAUCUACUACUCUGCAUUCAGCUUCUAUCCGAAAGCUCUUCUGCUUUAUUAGCAUUGCUGCCUUGAAUUCAUUCUUACUUGGGCCUUCCUGAUUCCCACUUUAACUGCUUUGGAAACAUCCAGCGGAAGCCUGCAGACUGCGUUUCAGGGGAUGGCACUGAGAAAUCGCAGCCAGAGAGCUCUAGUUUCUAAGUACCACACCAAACUACAAAUCCCAGGAACGUAAAAUGAAAUUAUAGUGCUAUAAUUGAGUAGUGCAAAUGUGGUGUCUUGAUGUGGAUCCCCUUUCUUGCUCUGGUCUUUUGAACAACGUUUGGACAACAUUAACCUCGUCCAAAUAUUAUCCAAAGCCAACAAAGGGGAUUUUGGGAUCUGUAGUGGUCCAAAGGAUGAAACUAUAAGAUGGGGUCUCUUUGGCAUUUGCUCCCAAGGGCUUCCUUCCUUCCCCAACAGACAAUUAGUAGAUUGUGGUUCCCAAUCCCUUGAUGAAAUGUUCUGACUGUAACUAUGUCUAUUUUAACUGAAUUGUUUUGCCUUGUUAUGGUGUGUUUAUUAUGCCUGCUGUGUUUCAAGUUGUUGUUUGUUGUUUUGACAAUUGACUGUUUUUGCAUACAUGUUGGAAACCGCCCUGAGUCCUCUUGAGGAGAUAGAGUGGUAUAUAAAUAAAGUUGUUUGUUGUUAUUAUUAUUAUUAUUAUCAUUAUUAUUAUUAUUUGCUGUGUUUCAAGUUGUUGUCUGUUGUUUUGACAAUUGACUGUUUUUGCAUACAUGUUGGAAACCGCCCUGAGUCCUCUCAAGGAGAUAUAGCGGUAUAUAAUAAUAAUAAUAAUAAUAAUAAUAAUAAUAAUAAUAAUAAUUUAUUGUGUUUCAAGUUGUUGUAUGUUGUUUUGACAAUUGACUGUCUUUGCAUACAUGUUGGAAACCGCCCUGAGUCCUCUCGAGGAGAUACAGCAAUAUAUAAAUAAAGUUUUUAACUAUUAUUAUUAUUGUUAUUAUUUGCUGUAUUUCAAGUUGUUUUAUGUUGUUUUGACAAUUGAUCGUUUUUGCAUACAUGUUGGAAACCGCCCUGAGUCCUCUCGACGAGAUAAAGCAGUAUAUAAAGUUUAUUAUUAUUAUUAUUAUUAUUAUUAUUAUUAUUAUUAUUAUUAUUAUUUGCUGUGUUUCAAGUUGUUGUAUGUUGUUUUGAGAAUUGACUGUUUUUGCAUACAUGUUGGAAACCGUCCUGAGUCCUCUCGAGGAGAAAGAGCGGAAUAUAUAUAUAAGGAUUAUUUAUUAUUAUUAUUAUUAUUAUUAUUAUUAUUUUAUUAUGACACAGCAAACAAGAUAGAUAUGCUGGAUUUUGUAUCACAAAAUAACAAGUCGAACACUUCCCAAGUGUCUAGGACUGUGUGAUGUAUAUUAUUAUUAUUAUUAUUAUUAUUAUUAUUAUUAUUAUUAUUAUUUAUUGUGUAAAGGGGUCUUUGAACAUGUG